AGGUCUGUAGUCUCCUGAUGGUUUAGGAGACCUGACCAUGUGUUUUCAGGUCUGUAGUCUCCUGAUGGUUGGGAGACCUGACCAUGUGUUUUCAGGUCUGUAGUCUCCUGAUGGUUUAGAGACCUGACCAUGUGUUUUCAGGUCUGUAGUCUCCUGAUGGUUUAGAGACCUGACCAUGUGUUUUCAGGUCUGUAGUCUCCUGAUGGUGGGGAGACCUGACCAUGU